GCUCUGUGCAGCAUACACGUUUUCAGUGUCUUCUGGUGGCACAUCCCUUGAUACACAACCAGCUUGUGAAUUACAUUUACAAUGGAUUUUUGGUUCCAGUAAUGGCCCCUGUGCUCCAUAAGGUGGAGAGGCAAGUGCAAGACCCAGUGAUACAGGCAGAAUUGAUUAAGGAGAUGGCUCAGAGAAAUGCCAAUGAAACCUGCCGCAA